ACAGGUUGACCUCGGAUCAGGUAGGAAUACCCGCUGAACUUAAGCAU
rnacentral:rRNA from 1 species